rnacentral:rRNA from 1 species
GACGAACGCUGGCGGCGUGCUUAACACAUGCAAGUCGAGCGGAAGGGCCUGCUUUCCCUUGUGGAUUGCGGGUACUCGAGUGGCGAACGGGUGAGUAACACGUGAGUGAUCUGCCCCCAACUUGGGUAUAAGCCUGGGAAACUGGGUCUAAUUCCCGAUAGGACUGCAGGGUGGUGCCUGUGGUGGAAAACGAUUUUCUAGUGGUUGGGGAUGAGCUCGCGGCCUAUCAGCUUGUUGGUGGGGUAAUGGCCUACCAAGGCGGCGACGGGUAGCCGGCCUGAGAGGGUGGACGGCCAGAUUGGGACUGAGAUCCGGCCCAGACUCCUACGGGAGGCAGCAGUGGGGAAUAAUGCACAAUGGGCGGAAGCCUGAUGCAGCGACGCCGCGUGGGGGAUGACGGCCUUCGGGUUGUAAACUCCUUUCGACCGCGAGGAAGCCACCUGGUUGGAAGGGUGGUGACGGUAGUGGUAGAAGAAGCACCGGCUAACUACGUG